GAUCGGGCGGUUCCCCUUCGGGGGACAGGGUGACAGGUGGUGCAUGGUUGUCGUCAGCUCGUGUCGUGAGAUGUUGGGUUAAGUCCCGCAACGAGCGCAACCCUCGACCUUAGUUGCCAGCAUUCAGUUGGGCACUCUAAGGUGACUGCCGGCUAAAAGUCGGAGGAAGGUGGGGAUGACGUCAAAUCAUCAUGCCCCUUAUGACCUGGGCUACACACGUGCUACAAUGGGCGGUACAAAGGGUCGCGAACCCGCGAGGGGGAGCCAAUCCCAAAAAGCCGCUCUCAGUUCGGAUUGCAGGCUGCAACUCGCCUGCAUGAAGCCGGAAUCGCUAGUAAUCGCGGAUCAGCAUGCCGCGGUGAAUACGUUCCCGGGCCUU
rnacentral:rRNA from 1 species